AUACAUAACUUGAUGAUAACGUUGUAUUCAAAAUGUCUAUUCCUUGUUUAAUACCUGACAGUUAACUCAAAAUUCGAACUUUGGAAGAGUUUCAGGUAAAGCCUUCAAUCUGUCAACGCCACAAGCCUAACAAUAAUUUCUAUUCUUUCACAUCAAACCUGAUCAUUUCUCAACUUCCAUGUAUCUUUCCUUUGUAGGAUGAAAAGUAGUUCUGGUUUGAGUCUUUAUUGAAGCUUCUAUUUUUCUCUGUGAACCAUGAGAUUUGACACUUGAAGCUAUCUCAGCAUUGCUUUUUUCUUUUCUUUUCUUUUUUUGAGGAAGAGGGGAAGGGAAGAAAGCCUUGGAUUGCCUAUGUACUGCUUUGAGGGAAUAUAACCUCAAAUUUGGCACCAUUUUGAAUUAUCCUGACUUGGCCUCAUUUAGAGCUUUGCCUGAGUUCAGGGAAUAGCGAGAAGGGGUUUCCACUCAGCUUUCUCUCACAUAUUAAGCUUGUCGAAUCACUUUUUCUGGGUUAACAUUUGUACUUCAAUCUCAGGUAGUUCUUAGUACCCCAACCUCGUGUGGGCAGAUUGUGAAAAUAAACAUGUCAUGUCAGUAUGGUUUGCACCUAGACAUUCUUUAUUCUACAUGAGCUUAACCUCGAGUCUCUGGAUUAUGAUACUAUAUAAUUGAAUUUUGGCAGCUCUUGGCUUUUACAGUUGAAAGGUUUAAACUUUAAAUCCUUUGACAUUAUCUCUCAUAACACUUAGCAUGUUUACAGGCUAGGUUAGAUGGAGAAGACAUAGGCUAUGGUUUUAAUCGAGAUCUCAAACUUAUCAGUGAGGUCCAAGCCCCAUCUCGCAGUGUUACAAGAUUCUUUUAUGCGGCGUUCUCAGCAGCUGCAGGUAUUUCACUGUUGUUCACAAUUCCAAGGCUUUUUCGUGCUAUUAAAGGUGGUGGUGAUGCCCUGACCUCUGGGAAACUGCUGGAAAUGCUGCCACCAACACUGGAGCAAUCUGCAGGCAUCAUAGUUCUUGUGGCAUUAUUUUUCUGGGACAACAAGAGAGGGGAAGAUCAACUUGCGGAGAUUACAAAAGACGAAACUCUGUCAAGCUUGCCUUUGCACCUUUCCACAAAUCAGGUUGUUGAACUUGUCCAGCUUCGAGACACUGUUAGACCAGUUCGUAACAAAACUUUUUUGUUUUUUACCCAUCAAAUUACAUACAUUGUGGCCUCAUAAUUACAAACUUAAUCACUACAAAGUACUUUCCUGCACUUUUUCGCUAAUGUCUGGUCUAAAUAUAUGAACAGAUAGCUAUGAAAAUAUUGCCUUGUCCUCCAUUCUAAAUAAGGAAAAACACCAUCUGAAAGUGCACCAUAAUAUUGUAUCGUGUUACUUUCUGCUGUGUUGAAGUGAUUGAAACAGUUAAGAUUGUUAGCUCCACUUUUACUAGCCAGCUACGUAUCUCACUUUCAUAACAUUUUGCAGCAUCUUAUUUUAGCAUCCAAAAUAUUAUCUGUUUAAUGCCCUAAAUUAUGUGGCUUGGGUUUAAGGUGGUUUUAGCAGGGAAAGGAGACCGUUUCCCCGGCCAUGCAGAAAGCUGAGAGGUUCAGAACUGAGCUCCUCCGGCAAGGUGCUCUUUUACUUCCUGUUAUUUGGGGUGAAAGCAGGGCUCCUGAAGUAGAGAAGAAAGGGUUUGGUGUUCCUCAAAAAGCAGCUACUCCUCCUCCUUCUACUGGGGUCAGAUAUAAAGGUUCCUUGAGUGUUUCUUUCUUUCGCUCCUAAGGAUAUGUGGGGACAGUAUUGCAGCUUUUUUCCAUUAGUAUGCUGUCAACGUCAGGUUCAUUUUCUAGGGAUUUCUUUCUCGCUAUUCCCAGCCUUAUCUCGUUUGGGAUCGAAUAGCUUAGUAGAACUUUUGUUCCCUUUUUUUUAUAUCUUAGCUUUGAUGACACCAUGGUAGGAAGAUUUCGAGAAAUGAACUCAUUCUGUGAUUGCAAAAUCAAAGUUGAAAGCUGAGAUUUGAUUUAGAGUCUAGGUUGUGUCACCAGCUGAAUGGGAAAGGUCAUAUGCUGCUCAAUUUGUAUUCAUCUUUCUACCGUCACAAAAGUUAGACUGUAGUUCAUUUUUGAAACAAAUGGAUAUUUGACUUCUUGUACUUGUUGUCAUUUUUAGGUUCUUCAUGUAAGCAUUAUGCCAAUUUACUUAUCCUGGGAUCAUACAAUUUUGUACCUUUCAUGAUCAUGGAUGAAUGAAUUAUAAGCAGAAAAUUGUUUGUCU